rnacentral:rRNA from 1 species
UGCGGAGGAUCAUUACCGAGUGCAGGUCUGCCCCCGGGCAGGCCUAACCUCCCACCCGUGAAUACCUGACCAACGUUGCUUCGGCGGUGCGCCCCCCCCGGGGGUAGCCGCCGGAGACCACACCGAACCUCCUGUCUUUAGUGUUGUCUGAGCUUGAUAGCAAACCUAUUAAAACUUUCAACAAUGGAUCUCUUGGUUCCGGCAUCGAUGAAGAACGCAGCGAACUGCGAUAAGUAAUGUGAAUUGCAGAAUUCAGUGAAUCAUCGAGUCUUUGAACGCACAUUGCGCCCCCUGGCAUUCCGGGGGGCAUGCCUGUCCGAGCGUCAUUGCUGCCCUUCAAGCCCGGCUUGUGUGUUGGGUCGUCGUCCCCCCCGGGGGACGGGCCCGAAAGGCAGCGGCGGCACCGCGUCCGGUCCUCGAGCGUAUGGGGCUUUGUCACCCGCUCGAUUAGGGCCGGCCGGGCGCCAGCCGGCGUCUCCAACCUUCUAUUUUACCAGGUUGACCUCGGAUCAGGUAGGGAUACCCGCUGAACUUAAGCAUAUCAUAGCGGGGAGGAAACGUCAUAAAUCAGAAGGCGGCACAGUCCGAUCCUCAAGCGCAGUAAUACACGACGCUUGCCGGUGAAGGUUGUUGCUCCAGAAACCCCCCACAAACCUAAAGGUUGACC